GGGCUGGGGCUCAGUGGUAGAGCACUUGCCUCCCACGUGUGAGACUGGGUUCAAUCCUCAGCACCACA
rnacentral:tRNA from 1 species